CCUCCAGAUGUUUUGAGACUACAAUUCCCAUCAUCCCUGACCACUGGUCCUGUUAGCUAGGGCUGAUGGGAGUUGUAGUCUCAAAACAUCUGGAGG